rnacentral:tRNA from 1 species
UGAGUCUUUAGCUCAGUCGGUAGAGCAUCUCCCUUUUAAGGAGAGGGUCGUUGGUUCGAGCCCAACAAGACUCAUC